AAACUGUGCGAACAGCCAAGAAAAUCCAUAUUUAACAGAUAAACUUAUGCUCAGAAAUAAGAUAUAUAGGUUACUUCUAUCACCAAUUAAACAGCCAAAACUAGAGGGGGAAAACGAUCGAGUGCACAGAUUAAAGCAAACUGGACACAAAUCCAUGCUGUUCACAUUCAGAAAUGGUAGCGACGACAUAAAAGUUGACAAAAGUUAAAGACAACGGUUCAUCAGACUCAUAAAUGACAACGGUUCAUUGACAGUCAACUAGGGAAAGGGUCGACUACAACUCAAGAUGCGGCUUUUUUGCAUCUAAGCUUGCACAUAGGCAUAUACUAACCAAAGGUGACAACAGGGUGCUUCCCAAUCUCCCAUAGUCUUAUUCCUGAAACACGCAACAAAAAGUUCAGGAUAAUGAAAAGAUUAUCAACCUCAGACCGAACAUCCAAAUUGCGAAGGCUUACCCUUUGUCCUGAUAUACAGGGGUUUGAAUCCCUCAGAAAAUUUCGCCACAGAUGGGCAUGUCAUCGAAGCUCCAAAGGUCCAUGUUGCCAACGACAUCCUGAGGCACAUCAAAAUUCAGAAGGCUAUCUAUCGGCUCAUCCACGCCAUCAUCAACAAGAAACCUCAUCCAAGGCUCAAAAUCGACAGCAUUGUUCUCCAUAACAGGAGGCACCACUGAGUUGUAGGUGUUGCUCUGGACAAGCGCAGAUUCAGCUCCUUCGGCAAUCACUGCUGGGUUGUAGGUGUUACUCUGGAGAAGUGCAGACUCUGUUCCUUCAGCAAUGGUGGAAAUGGGAGCAAUGGAUGAUAUAUCUGGAGUCUUGGUGUCAUACUCCCAGCCCA
rnacentral:lncRNA from 1 species